AGUCUCACCAUUCCUAAAAAAAUUCAGUAUCACCGCUUAGGAAAUAAACACCUAACAGUCUCCCACGGUGCUUGUGCCUGUUCCCCUUUUCAUCUUGUUCUAUCCCCUCUGUACAAAUUUCGUUCAACCUGAGCGCUGCGGAUUUAAUUCCCAACACCACCUCAGUUUCCCCUCUUGAUUCCUUGCCGUGACCUUGCUCUUACACACCUGCACGCACGGGGCCGCCAUCUCGUGCGCCUAAUUUGGCUCCCUGUACGCCUCCUCGAUCUGCUAGGCCGAACGGCGAUGGAGGGUUAGCAGGGCUCGAUGAGAAGCUGCGCAAUGGAGGAGUCGAGCUUGUCGAUCUUGAAGUGUCGCUGUCGUCGGUGCCCUUGGAGCCGAUGUGGGCAUUGAUUUCGUCUCGCAGAUCCAGCUUGAAUCCACCUCGAUUGUGAGGAUGCUGGCGGCGUUGUCUUCCAUCGCAUCGUGGCCGUCCCAGAGCGAGGUGCCCCGGCAGGCCAUCUUCAUCCUCACAGUGGAAGCCUGACUUCGGCGGCUCAUUUUUCACCUGCAGCUUGGUCUACUUCCUGUAGCACAGCUUGUAUCUCUGGCCAAGCUGCGUUCAACAUGAAUGUCACAAAUAGAUGGUACUUACUGGAGGCUCGCUCGACCGAUGGCGCAGUUGAGGAUAUUGGGGGAACUUGCUUGUGAGAGUUCCUUUACUUCUUUGAGGGCAAGCCAUCAUGGUGGUGUUCAUUAAUUUUGAGUAAUACUGUAAUAGCAACAUCAUGAUGGGUACAAGUCUAACCUAUCAUGAGUUUGUCUACGGCAUCACGCAAUUGAUUGUGAGAUUGGUGUAAAGAAUAUGUGAGGAGCCGUAAGACUGAUCGUGAGAUUAGUGUAUAUGGUAUUGGGAACAAAAACAAAAGAGAAUACAUGCAAAUGAUCAGUGUAGGAUUGGAUUGUUUGG